CCUUGGCCUCCAUUAGAACCAACUCUAUCGAAUUAGGAAGUUUUAAACCAUUGAAAUUUGGAGUCAACCACAACCGCACUACCUUCACAAUAACCUUCCACACAUCCUUUUCCUUUGAAAUGGAAGAGACAUCGUCAACACUAAGACCGUCAUGACAAUUUUUAGAUUGAAUAGUGAUAGAUGGAUGCACAUCCGGAAGAGUGAAUCAUUUUUUCUUUUGUACUAUUAUUUCUUUUGUUUUUUCCAGUUACUUUUUUCUAAUUUUAAGAAUCAUAUUUUUAAGGCUUAAUACAUCAUAAGACCCCUGAAUUUGUAAAAAAAACUCAACCACCAGAUCUGAAACCGAAACCGAAACCAAGCCAUGCCGACAGAUGGGUAGAUCGAACCAAGCGAAAAAGGUGGUGCCUUUGUGAGGAUGAGACCUUCUUGAGCAGCAAAUCUGGGUUAAUCAUGUGGACCUUCUUUAUCUUGUUCGUUGUUCCAGAUCAAAGAGAGCGGCCGUGAGUUUGACACCUUAGCCUACGCCAAUCACCACGCCGUCAUCUCUUACUUCUGGGGUGUGGGUUUUCUGGGGUUGGGAGUGGGUUUAUGGGUUUGGUGUUUUUUUUUGGUGGGGAUGGGUUUAUGGGGGCUCGAUUUGUGCAUAGAUUUUCUGGGUUGUGUGAAUUUGAUGACCAGAUCUGUUAGGUGAGGAUGGAGGCGAACCAGUUCUGUUUCCUCGACGGCGACGGCGACGGCGUUAGGCGGCGGAGAAGGCGAAGCAGGUCCAUUCCAUUCCAUUCCUUCGCUUCCCCUUCCCUUUCCAUGUUCAUACAACGCCUCCUAUCUCGUAACCAUGACCAAGAGAACAAAGAAGGCUGGCAUCGUUGGAAAAUACAAUGUGUAUUGCUUUUUUUUGUUGUUGUUAGCUCAUGCUGAUUAUUGAUGUAUAUAAGCUUGAGUUUCCAGAGGAAUGAUUGUUCCAUUUCAUUCUUAUUGAUAAGUAUUGCUAGAACACUUUUUGUGUACGCACUUUGAUAAAAGAUGUUAACUUUUCCCCUUCUGCAUUCUUUGAUGAAAUGAACAAAUUUCAGUCUUUUACAUGUGAUGAUUAGUUUCACAGCUUCCUUUUGUUGUUUGCUGCUACUGCAAAAAUAAGAAUAUAUGUCUGGAUUUAAGA